ensembl:snoRNA U3 Small nucleolar RNA U3
AAGACUGUACUUUCAGGGAUCAUUUCGAUAGUUUUUGAAAUGUAUUUCUAGAGUGUAUGGUCUCGCUAACCGCGAUGAUGAGUUUGAAAAUGACAGACAACCAUGAUUUUGUCAUGUGUUUUGUUAUUGAUGACUGUUCAUUGCUAAUUUUUGGAGCUUUGACAAAGGGAAUAUGAUCUGAGUGGU